CAGUCGCCGCGGUAAUACAGAGGAUGCAAGCGUUAUCCGGAAUGAUUGGGCGUAAAGCGUCUGUAGGUGGCUUUUCAAGUCCGCCGUCAAAUCCCCGGGCUCAACCCUGGACAGGCAGUGGAAACUACCAAGCUGGAGUACGGUAGGGGCAGAGGGAAUUUCCGGUGUAGCGGUGAAAUGCGUAGAUAUCGGAAGGAACACCUGUGGCGAAAGCGGCUCACUGGACCAUUUCUGACGCUGAUGCACGAAAGCUAGGGGAGCAAACAGGAUUAGAUACCCGCGUAGUCCCUGUCUCUUAUAC
rnacentral:rRNA from 1 species